CAUGCGAGCAACGCGAAGGCGGCUGGUUCGAUGCUUUGCACUGGCCAGCCCAAUUCGGCCGAUGUGACGGUGACAAUUUCGGGCGACACUUCAUGGAGAGCGCUUGCGAUGGCAUUCCGUAACACUGGAUUGGUCGCGCCGCCCCCUGCCAGAAUUACCCUAUCCGGAAGCGACCCCAAGUGGCGCUCAUAGGAAGAGGCGAUUGCUUUCGCGGUGAAGGCGGUAAGAGUUGCGAGCACAUCGCAGGGCGACAACCGCGCGCGUGUCAGAUGCGUCAGUUCCCGCUGCCAGAAGCUCUCACCGAAUAGUUCACGUCCGGUGCUUUUCGGGGGCG
rnacentral:misc_RNA from 1 species